GAUGCUUUUCUCACGAUGGUCUGCGGAGCCCCGCGAAGGGGCGCUGUCGACGCUGCCCUUUGGCCAAACUGAUGCCUCGCC